rnacentral:rRNA from 1 species
AACCUCCGCAAUGUGAGAAAUCGCGACGGGGGGAUCCCAAGUGCCAUUCUUAACGGGAUGGCUUUUCAUUAGUGUAAAGAGCUUUUGGAAUAAGAGCUGGGCAAGACCGGUGCCAGCCGCCGCGGUAACACCGGCAGCUCUAGUGGUAGCAAUUUUUAUUGGGCCUAAAGCGUUCGUAGCCGGUUUGAUAAGUCACUGGUGAAAUCCUGUAGCUUAACUGUGGGAAUUGCUGGUGAUACUGUUGAACUUGAGGUCGGGAGAGGUUAGCGGUACUCCCAGGGUAGAGGUGAAAUUCUGUAAUCCUGGGAGGACCACCUGUGGCGAAGGCGGCUAACUGGAACGAACCUGACGGUGAGGGACGAAAGCUAGGGGCGCGAACCGGAUUAGAUACCCGGGUAGUCCUAGCCGUAAACGAUGCGGACUUGGUGUUGGGAUGGCUUUGAGCCGCUCCGGUGCCGAAGGGAAGCUGUUAAGUCCGCCGCCUGGGAAGUACGGUCGCAAGACUGAAACUUAAAGGAAUU